UAUCAUUCUAUAUAAUUAAUUUAGUUUAAAUGAAAAUAAGGAACUUGGAAUUAAAACACUGUUGAAGAGAAACUACAUAUUCGGGUUAAAUUCACCUCAGUUUGUUAAUUCAAGUUUGACAUCUAACAUCUUAAUCCGUAAUCCACAUUUACCUGACGACCUUAAAUUGUUUAUUGUUUUUUAUCAAUCGAAUAUCCUCACACAGGAGACUGAGA
rnacentral:lncRNA from 1 species